NNNNNNNNNNNNNNNNNNNNNNNNNNNNNNNNNNNNNNNNNNNNNNNNNNNNNNNNNNNNNNNNNNNNNNNNNNNNNNNNNNNNNCAAUUCUCGUACUCGUAAUUGGAAAGUUAUGGAAGGAGACCCAUCAUUUUGCAAUGAAAACAACAUAUAAAACUCUGGACAAUUUCGAAAUCAGGCCAAGCGUCUUAAUACAUAUGCAAAAAAAAUUCAUUAUUGGCCCACCAUUGAUUAGAAGAUUUAGCUUGUAUGAAUCGCUAUUGGUUUGAUACGAAUAAUGGCAAUCGUUUCAGUAUGUUAAGGAUACAGAUGUAUCCACAAUUCAUUUAGAGUUACUUAAUAGUCUAUUUCUUAUACCAUAUCUCUAUCCCGUGAAAUUCUCGAGCCAAAAGAUGGAUGCCUAUGCUGUGUUUCAUUUUGCUAAAUGAUAUCAAUUAAAUGGUGUAUCAAUUCCAUAAAUUGCAUAUAGCAAUAAAUAAAUCAGCAAAAUUCUUUCUACUAUAUUUAGAUAGAAGAAACAUUUCUUCUAUCUAAAAUAGUAGAAAGAAUGUACCCUUCUAUCCAAAUCCAAUUUGCAUCGAUAAAAAAAAUCCAAAUUCCAGUAGUAGAUGAAUAAUUGCAAAUUUGUGUGUGUACGAGAUUAGAAUAACUUCAAAAUAACUGACAUAAUUUUUAUUUUUCCUGAUCAGAAAAAUACAUGAAAAAGAAAGGAGGUAGAAAAAUUUUAGGAUUUAUGGUUAAAGAAGAAAAAGAAGAAAACAGGGGUUCUGUUGAAUUUCAAGUAUUCAGUUUCACCAAUAAGAUACGGAGACUUGCUUCACAUUUGGAAUUACACAAAAAAGAUUUUUCAUCGGAAAGAGGUCUACGAAGACUUUUGGGAAAACGUCGACGUUUGCUGGCUUAUUUGGCAAAGAAAAAUAGAGUACGUUAUAAGAAAUUAAUCGGUCAGUUGAAUAUUCGGGAGCAGUAAUUUAAUCCUUCAAAUUUUUUUCUUGUUUUAUUAUUUUUUUAGUAGUCUUUAUAGUAGUCUUAGAUUUUUCAUUUUGAUGAGCCUCACUUUGAGGAAUUCAUGGAAUAAUCCAUUUUCAUGGAAUAAUGAAUUAAGGAAGAAAGGAUAUGAGUCUACCGCUUACAAAAAAAGAUCUCAUGAUAGUCAAUAUGGGCCCUCAACACCCAUCAAUGCAUGGUGUUCUUCGACUGAUCGUUACUCUUGAUGGUGAGGAUGUUAUUGAUUGUGAACCCAUAUUAGGGUAUUUACACAGAGGAAUGGAAAAAAUCGCGGAAAACCGAACGAUUAUACAAUACUUACCUUAUGUAACAAGGUGGGAUUAUUUAGCUACUAUGUUUACAGAAGCAAUAACAGUAAAUGCACCAGAAUUCUUGGAGAAUAUUCAAAUACCACAAAGAGCCAGCUAUAUUAGGGUAAUUAUGUUAGAGUUAAGCCGUAUAGCUUCUCACUUGCUAUGGCUUGGACCUUUUAUGGCGGAUCUCGGCGCACAGACUCCUUUUUUCUACAUUUUUAGAGAGAGAGAAUUAAUAUAUGAUCUAUUUGAAGCUGCUACAGGUAUGCGAAUGAUGCACAAUUACUUCCGCAUCGGAGGAGUAGCCGCCGAUCUACCUUAUGGAUGGAUCGAUAAAUGUUUAGAUUUCUGUGAUUAUUUUUUACGCGGAGUUGUUGAAUAUCAACAACUUAUUACACAGAAUCCCAUUUUUUUAGAGCGAGUUGAAGGAGUAGGUUUUAUUAGCGGAGAAGAAGCAGUAAAUUGGGGCUUAUCGGGACCUAUGUUACGAGCUUCUGGAAUACAAUGGGAUCUUCGUAAAGUGGAUCCUUAUGAGUCUUACAACCAAUUUGAUUGGAAAGUCCAAUGGCAAAAAGAAGGCGAUUCAUUAGCUCGCUAUUUAGUACGAGUUGGUGAAAUGAGCGAAUCCAUCAAAAUAAUUCAACAAGCUAUAGAAAAAAUUCCUGGAGGACCUUAUGAGAAUUUAGAAGUCCGACGCUUUAAGAAAGAAAAGAAUUCUGAAUGGAAUGAUUUUGAGUAUAAAUUUCUUGGUAAAAAACCUUCCCCCAAUUUUGAAUUGUCAAGGCAAGAGCUUUAUGUAAGAGUGGAAGCCCCAAAAGGUGAAUUAGGGAUUUAUCUAGUAGGAGAUGAUAGCCUUUUUCCCUGGAGAUGGAAAAUCCGUCCACCCGGUUUUAUUAAUUUGCAAAUUCUUCCUCAACUAGUUAAAAAAAUGAAAUUGGCUGAUAUCAUGACGAUAUUAGGUAGUAUAGAUAUCAUUAUGGGGGAAGUUGAUCGUUGAAAUGAUAAUAGAUAGGGUAGAGGUAGAAACUAUCAAUUCUUUUUCGAAAUCGGAAUUAUUAAAAGAAGUCUAUGGACUGAUAUCGAUUCUACCCAUUUUGACCCUCCUUUUAGGAAUUACAAUAGAGGUACUCGUAAUUGUGUGGUUAGAAAGAGAAAUAUCUGCGUCGAUACAACAACGUAUUGGUCCUGAAUAUGCUGGCCCCCUGGGCCUGCUUCAAGCUAUAGCAGAUGGGACUAAACUACUUUUUAAAGAAGAUAUUCUGCCAUCGCGAGGAGAUAUUUCUUUAUUUAGCAUUGGACCUUCUAUAGCAGUCAUAUCAGUUUUAUUAAGUUUUUUAGUUAUCCCUUUGGGAUAUCAUUUUGUUUUAGCCGAUCUUAGUAUUGGUGUUUUUUUAUGGAUUGCCAUUUCAAGUAUAGCUCCUAUUGGUCUUCUUAUGGCAGGAUAUAGCUCAAAUAAUAAAUAUUCUUUUUCAGGCGGUCUACGAGCUGCUGCUCAAUCCAUUAGUUAUGAAAUACCAUUAACUUUUUGUGUGCUAGCAAUAUCUCUACGUGUGAUUCGUUAAAAUAGGAUCUUUUUCCUAUAAAAUCCAUUAACUAUUUAUAUUCCUUUUCUUAUUUAGUAUUUGGGUUGGUAAGUUAAACUAGAUAGCUAUAUGAGUGAAAUAAAACAGCUUCUAAAUUUGUAGUAAAAAGAAAAAAAUCUCAUUUUCUACGUACAAGAAAAAAGUGGAAGUAAACAUAAAGAGUGUAAACUCUUUAUCCCAAGGUUGAUAUUUUUUAAUUACUCAUCAUAUCUUGAAGCGGGCAAGAAUAAAGGAUUCACAAUAUGGAAUUCCAUUAUUAGAAUACUCCUAGUUAUUACUAUAACUUAAAAAUUCAUAAGAAGAAUCCACCAAAAGUUAGUGAAGGGUUAGGAACACUAAAGUACAUAAAGGAUUAGUAAUGGAAAAUCUAAAACAUUAGAGAUUUUUUCCCGUAAAAGGAAUCAUAAUAAGGACUUGCAAUUUGUAGAAAUUAUCAAGUAGUACUUUCUUCGGAUUCCGAUCCAGAGUAUGUUCCCAUUCACUUGUUAAGGAAAUGGCUAUCAAGAACGAAUUAACCCUUUAUCCAUUUUUUCUUUUUAAAUACCCCCUUCCCGGGGGAAAGAAGAAUAGUAAAAAAGAUAUGGAGUGCACUAGAAAAAAUUUGCAUUAUUUCCUUCCUCUAUUCAUGCAGAAUUGCUCAUGAACUAAUACUCCACUCUUUCCAUUUAUUAAUUGAAUUCCUAUAACAAAACAAGUACCAAGUGUUUUAUUCCAAGAUUAAGUUAUUACUGAACAAAGAAAAAUUUGGAAUAUAUUAUAAAGGAUGAGAUCAAUUCAGAAGCGCUUUUUCUUAUUCUAGCAGACGGAAUUCCUUUGGUCUAAUUUAGGACUUUCAAAUCUAUUUUAUUUUACCUAAUUCUAUCUAUGCCCCAGGGGCUAGGAACAGAACAAAACAGUCCUUUCCUUUUUCUGAUCAUAGAGAAGCCGUAUGAAGCUAAGGUUUCAUGUACGGUUUUGAAAUAGCGGUGGGAACUGUGAUGUUAUCAUCGACUAUGAUUAUCUAACAGUUCAAGUACAGUUGAUAUAGUUGAAGCACAGUCAAAAUAUGGUUUUUUUGGAUGGAAUAUUUGGCGUCAGCCUAUAGGCUUUCUGGUUUUUUUAAUUUCUUCUUUGGCAGAAUGUGAAAGAUUACCCUUUGAUUUACCAGAAGCAGAGGAAGAAUUAGUAGCAGGUUACCAAACUGAAUAUUCCGGUAUCAAAUAUGGUUUAUUUUAUCUUGUUUCUUACCUAAAUUUAUUAGUUUCUUCUUUAUUUGUAACAGUUCUCUACUUGGGCGGGUGGAAUUUCUCUAUUCCCUAUAUAUCCUUUUUUGAUUUUUUCCAAAUGAAUAAAGCAGUUGGAAUUUUGGAAAUGACAAUGGGUAUAUUUAUUACAUUAACUAAAGCUUAUUUAUUUCUCUUCAUUUCUAUCACAAUAAGAUGGACUUUACCAAGGAUGAGAAUGGAUCAGUUAUUAAAUCUUGGAUGGAAAUUUCUUUUACCUAUUUCCCUGGGCAAUCUAUUAUUAACAACCUCUUCUCAACUUGUUUCACUAUAAAUAAGAUAAUACAAUAAUAGAUAGUAAGAAUAUUUUCAACACAAAAGCUCUCCCAAACAAGAGAAAGAAACAUAUCUUUUUCAUAGAUAUUUAGAAUGAAUAUGUUCCCUAUGGUAACUGGGUUCAUGAGUUAUGGUCAACAAACAAUACGUGCUACAAGGUACAUAGGUCAAAGUUUCAUAACUACCUUAUCCCACACAAAUCGUUUACCUAUAACGAUUCACUACCCUUAUGAAAAAUCAAUUACACCAGAGCGUUUCCGAGGGCGAAUCCACUUUGAAUUUGAUAAAUGUAUUGCUUGUGAAGUAUGUGUUCGCGUAUGUCCGAUAGAUCUACCCGUUGUGGAUUGGAGAUUUGAAAAGGAUAUAAAAAGAAAACAAUUGCUUAAUUAUAGUAUUGAUUUCGGAGUUUGUAUAUUUUGUGGCAAUUGUGUUGAGUACUGUCCAACAAGCUGUUUAUCAAUGACUGAAGAAUAUGAACUUUCUACCUAUGAUCGUCAUGAAUUGAAUUACAAUCAAAUUGCUUUAAGUCGGUUACCAAUCUCCAUAAUGGGAGAUUACACAAUUCAAACAAUUAGGAAUUCGUCUGAAAGUAAAAUAAACGAAGAAAAAUCUUCGAAUUCAAGAACGAUUACUGAUUACUAAACUUUGAUUUUGUCUUUUUGUUAUAAAAAUCUACUAAUUCUUUAUUAAACUAUAAAGAAAAACGAAUAACUACUGCUUAUUGGAAAUUUUUUCUUAUUUUAAAUCAGACUAGAUUUUGAUGAUAUAAUAUAGUUUAUAACUAUACAGUUUAUACACAAAAAAUACCCUAAUCCCUUUUUCCUUCCUCGAAUCCUUUAGUUUUAGUCAGUUCAUGAAAAAUUUUAUACUAUUAAUUUCUUUUUAUCCAUAAUGGAUUUACCUGGACCAAUACAUGAGAUUCUUAUGCUAUUUGGGGGAUUUAUUCUUCUACUAGGGGGUCUAGGAGUAGUAUUACUUACCAACCCCAUUUAUUCUGCCUUUUCGCUGGGAUUAGUUCUUGUUUGUAUAUCCUUAUUCUAUUUUUUAUUAAAUUCCUACUUUGUAGCUGUCGCACAACUUCUUAUUUAUGUGGGAGCCAUAAAUGUCUUGAUCAUAUUCGCUGUAAUGUUCGUAAAUGGCUCAGAAUGGUCUAAAGAUAAGAAUUAUUGGACUAUUGGAGAUGGGUUCACUUCACUCGUUUGUAUAACUUUUGUUUUUUCACUAAUGACUACUAUCCCAGAUACGUCAUGGUAUGGAAUUCUUUGGACUACAAGAUCAAACCAAAUAGUAGAACAGGGUCUCAUAAAUAAUGUUCAACAAAUUGGAAUUCAUUUAGCAACCGAUUUUUAUCUUCCGUUUGAACUCAUUUCCAUAAUUCUUCUAGUUUCUUUAAUAGGUGCAAUUACUAUGGCUCGGCAAUAAGAAAACUUAGAAAAAGUAAAAAUUAUAAGAAUUGCAAAUCUAAAAUAAAUAACUAAAGAAUCACAAUUUUGAUUUAGUAAAACCCAUCUACUGCCAACAAAUACCUCCUUUCUUUUCUCUUUUGUUGUGUAAUUGUUCUAUUGUAAUUAAUUGAAUCGGUUCAAUUCUUUGCCCUCAUAUUGAAAUGAAUCGAGAUUGAUAAGGAGUUAGUUAAUGAUGUUUGAGCAUGUACUUUUUUUGAGUGUCUAUUUAUUUUCGAUUGGUAUCUAUGGAUUGAUCACAAGCCGAAACAUGGUUAGAGCUCUAAUAUGUCUUGAACUUAUACUGAAUUCAAUUAAUCUAAAUCUCGUAACAUUUUCUGAUCUAUUUGAUAGUCGCCAAUUAAAAGGAGAUAUUUUCGCCAUUUUUGUUAUAGCCCUUGCCGCUGCUGAAGCCGCUAUUGGACUAUCCAUUCUUUCUUCCAUCCAUCGUAAUAGGAAAUCCACUCGUAUCAAUCAAUCUAAUUUAUUGAAUAAUUAGACUUUUUAAUAAUUAGACAUAAAAUCCUCUAAACAAAGGCGCACAUAUUAAAAUAAUAUAGAAAUCCAUACUAUUUUCUUAGUAUUAUUUGAGAAUAUCCUUUUUUUUUUAGUAAGUAGGUUAUUGCAUAGUAUUCUUUUUCACUUAAAUGAAUUUUUGUAUUUGUAAUUCAUUGAUAUUGCAAUAUUCAAAUUGCAAUAAUUUAUAUUGAAAAGACGAUAGCCAAUAAAAUAAAUUGGCUAAUUCGAAAUCGUCUGUACAAUUUGUAAAAUUCUUUCUUAUUGUUGAAGUCCAAAAUUCAAGUCUCUUGGCUCUUUUCACGCUUUCUCACAAACGGAUUAAAAAAUAGAUUUUUAAUUUUGAAGUUUGGAUAAACCAUUGCUUCGUCUGGUGUCUACAAUACAUAUGACUCAUAUAGUACUAAUUUUCUUUUUACCAGAUCGAAAAAUUUUAUGUUGAAAAGAAAAAUUUAUAGAUCCAAUGUCACAUUCCGUAAAAAUUUAUGAUACAUGUAUAGGAUGCACUCAAUGUGUACGAGCUUGUCCAACAGAUGUAUUAGAAAUGAUACCCUGGGAUGGAUGUAAAGCCAAGCAAAUUGCUUCCGCGCCGAGAACCGAAGAUUGUGUGGGUUGUAAGAGAUGUGAAUCUGCCUGCCCGACAGAUUUUUUAAGUGUCCGCGUUUAUUUAGGGCCUGAAACAACCCGUAGCAUGGCUCUAUCUUAUUGAUACGUUACAAAAACAAAAAACUUCAUUUGAAUCGUCUGAUUCCUCUUUACCGAAGAAGCCUGUGCUCGAAAUAAUCGAGCACGGGCUUUUCUGGUCAAAACGUAUCUUGUCUUUAUCACUUUAUCAUGAGUUAUUUUCCUUGGUUAACAAUACUUGUUGUUUUGCCGAUAUUUGCCGGUUCAUUAAUUUUCUUUUUACCUCAUAAGGGAAACAAAAUCGUUAGGUGGUAUACUAUAUCUAUUUGUUUAUUAGAAUUCCUUCUAAUGACUUAUGCGUUCUGUUAUCAUUUCCAACUGGAGGAUCCCUUAAUUCAAUUAAAGGAGGAUUAUAAAUGGAUAGAUGUCUUCGAUUUCCAUUGGAGAUUGGGAAUCGAUGGACUUUCAUUAGGAUCCAUUUUAUUGACAGGAUUUAUCACUACUUUAGCUACUUUAGCAGCUUGGCCAAUUACACGGAAUUCGCGAUUAUUCUAUUUCCUGAUGCUCGCAAUGUAUAGUGGUCAAAUAGGAUUAUUUUCUUCGCGAGACCUUUUACUUUUUUUUAUCAUGUGGGAGUUAGAAUUAAUUCCUGUUUACUUACUUUUAUCCAUGUGGGGGGGAAAGAGGCGUCUAUAUUCAGCUACAAAGUUUAUUUUGUAUACUGCAGGCGGUUCUAUUUUUUUCUUAAUCGGAGUUCUGGGUAUGGGCUUAUACGGUUCCAACGAACCAGGAUUAGAUUUGGAAAGAUUAAUUAAUCAAUCAUACCCCGCAACCUUGGAAAUACUUUUAUAUUUUGGCUUCCUUAUUGCUUAUGCUGUCAAAUUGCCGAUUAUACCCCUACAUACGUGGUUACCAGAUACCCAUGGGGAAGCACAUUAUAGUACAUGUAUGCUUUUAGCGGGAAUAUUAUUAAAGAUGGGAGCAUAUGGAUUGAUUCGGAUCAACAUGGAAUUGUUACCUCAUGCUCAUUAUCUAUUUUCGCCCUGGUUAGUAAUAAUAGGAGCUAUCCAAAUAAUCUAUGCAGCUUCAACUUCUCUUGGUCAACGAAAUUUCAAAAAAAGAAUAGCUUAUUCCUCUGUAUCUCACAUGGGUUUCAUAAUUAUAGGAAUUGGUUCCAUAACCAACAUUGGACUCAAUGGAGCUAUUUUACAAAUAUUAUCCCAUGGAUUUAUUGGUGCUACACUUUUUUUCUUGGCAGGAACCGCUUCUGAUAGAAUGCGUCUUGUUUAUCUCGAAGAACUGGGAGGAAUAUCUAUCCCAAUGCCUAAAAUUUUUACCAUGUUUAGUAGCUUUUCAAUGGCUUCUCUUGCCUUACCAGGAAUGAGUGGUUUUGUCGCAGAAUUAGUAGUAUUUUUUGGACUAAUUACUAGUCCAAAAUUUUUGUUAAUGCCAAAAGCACUAAUUACUUUUGUAAUGGCAAUUGGAAUGAUAUUAACUCCUAUUUAUUUAUUAUCUAUGUUACGCCAGAUGUUCUAUGGAUACAAGCUAUUUAAUGUUCCAAACGCAAAUUUUGUGGAUUCUGGACCACGAGAACUCUUUAUUUUAAUCUGUAUCUUUUUACCAGUAAUAGGAAUUGGUAUUUAUCCAGAUUUUGUUCUCUCCCUAUCCGUUGACAGGGUAGAGGCUCUCUUAUCCAAUUAUUAUCCUAAAUAGGUUUGGUUUUUUUUACUAGUCUGCUCUAUUAAUGCAGAAAUAAGUAAAAAAGUAUAAUUAGAUCUAUCUCGAAUUUUUGAGAACCCUUUGAGAAGGCGCUCAAGGGGUUCUCAAAUAAAAUAUAAAAGUAAAAACGUUCAUUUCAUGAACGUUUUUUUUUAUGUAAUCAUUUAGGUGUUAAUGUAAACGAACCAUAACUAUGUAAACCUAUUCCUAAUAGAUUGAUACCAAAAUAACAAAUCCAAAUUAUAAGAAAUCCUAUCGAAGCUAUAAGUGCAGAAUUCGUACCCUUCCAAUUUGGAUUUGUUCUACUAUGUAAAUAAAUUGCGAAUAUGGUCCAAGUAAUAAAUGCCCAAGUUUCCUUAGGAUCCCAAUUCCAAUAGGAUCCCCAGGCCUCAUUAGCCCAUACUGCUCCACAAAGAAUACCUAUGGUUAAAAGGGUAAAUCCUAGGCUAAUGAUACGAUAACUCCAAGAAUCCAAACGCUCCGUUAAUUGAUAUUUGUAAUAAUUUGGAAAUGAAGGGACAGGGGCGCUUUUUAAAGCACUUCUUUUUGCAUAAAAAAAUGCAAUCUCACUAAAGAAAAAUGUUUUAUUUAAAACAUUUUUUUCUUUUUAGAAAAGAAAUGGAAAUUAUUUCGAAAUCUAAUGAUUAGAAUAGCGGCAGAUAAUAAGGAUCCGCACAAAAGAGUUGCAUAACUUAAUAACAUCAUACUGACAUGCAUCAUUAACCACUGAGAUUGUAGAGCAGGUACUAGUAUCGUGGAUUGAUGCAUUUCAGUUAAAAGACCCGACGUGGCAAAGCCUUGCGUUAAAAUAGUACUUGGCGUAGUUAUUGUGCUUAAAUCAUUUUUAGAGUUCUGUAUUUUAGGAAUGGUAUGAAGAAUAUACAGAGCCCAUGAAAGGAAGAUCAAUGACUCAUAUAAAUUACUUAAUGGAAAAUGUCCCGAAGAAACCCAACGAGAAACUAAGAAUCCUGUUAUAGAGAAAAAAGUAACUAUCAUUCCUUUUUCUGACGAAUCACGUAAUCUCCCAAGUUCACGAACUAAUAAGGUUAUCAAAUGAAUCGUAAUCACAAUUGAAAUCGUUGAGAAAGAGAUAUGAGUUAGUAUAUGUUCUAAAGUUGCAAAUAGCAUAAGGGGAAGGUCCCAUUACAAAAUUGUAAAUUUCGAAUUGAUUUCUAAUCUAUUGUAUUCCUUUUCAAGAAUGCCGCCACUCGGAUUCGAACCGAGAUGCUUGAGCACUGCUUCCUAAGAGCAGCGUGUCUACCAAUUUCACCAUGGCGGCUAACUUCAAAUAAUAGGUAACUUAAAAGAAUAAUAGCUAUUAUCUCGGGAAUCGUCGAUAUUGGGAAAGUCCAUAAAAUUUAGGAACAUUAGAGUUUUCAUUAAAAUGGACUUCGUUUGGUAGUAUCGUUUCCAUUUUUUUUUACAAUAAACUCUUGCUUUGCCCAAUAGAAACACUGGUUGAAAGAGUUGGAACUUCUUUUUUCUAACUUGCAAUUAUAGAUAUAGAACUAAUUUUUUCUAAUUAAUUUAUCGUUUAAAUUUUGAAAAUUCUUUCAAUACAAUGAAAAAAAUCCAAAAGGGUUUCUAUUUAAUGAUGAAAUUAAAAUGGAUAAAUAGAAAAGGCUUUUUGGAUUUUUGAAAAAUUUCUAGAAUGAAAGUCUUUAUGCUCUUAUUAAUAAGAUUUACUAACCUUAUGAUUUUGGAUAAGAUAGGUGGAAGUUGUAAGUCCUAUUGUAAGAAUACUCCACUUUUCAUAAUUUUCAUAAUAAAAUAUGAGCAUUCUAUUAUGAAAAUUAUGAAAAGUUCAUUGAUAGGAAAAGAAUACUUAGCACACAGUAUACCAAACAAAACUUUUUUUUAUUGUAUAUAUAAGAGGGGUUUGUUAUAAGAAUAUUGUACCGAAGUAAUUCGACACAUAAAAGUACAUUCAAAGAAGAAUCCAAAUUAUUAAAUAAUUGGAAUUCUUUUUUGAAAAAUCAAUUCAUAUUAUUCCAAAAUCUUAUUAUUUGUUUGUUUGUUGCCCAGAAAAACCCUUUGGUUUUGGAUGCUCAUUACCACUGGAAAAUGAUCUUGAUUUUACUAAAGAAUAAGAUUGUACUAUGGAAAAAUAAGUCUUUUUCUUCCAAAUAUUUUUACGAAUACGCUUUUUUGACAUUGAAGUACGUUUUUUUGGAACUGCCAUUCAAAAAGGAAAUUACUUUUUUCUAGUUGUAUGUGAAAGACAUCUAUUGCUGCAAAUCAAUCCUUCUUUCUUGUUUUUAUUAGUAUUUAUACUUAGAUACUGAAAGAUACUGAAAUUGUGAAUUAUUUUUUACUUCAUUUUGUCUAAUGCGGAUAAGACAAGAAUUUUUAAACAUUUUUUCUGUAUAUAUUUUAUACUUUGUUUUAAUAAUAUAGAAUAUAUAGAAGGGUUUCCCAUUUAUAUCUAUUUAUAUAUCAAGUAUACUCCAUAUAUAGAUAUAUGGUAUGGAAGCCUAUCCCCCCGGGGGGAUAAAAAGAAGGGAAAAUUCAAAUAGUUAAUUAAGCUCAGAAUGAUAUUGUAUUGUAUUCCAUAAAGGAAAGGAAUUCUAAUCAAAACAAAAAAUACUGAGUCUCUUAAACAAGACAUUCUAAAACUUAGGUAAUUUAUAGUCAUAAGGACUAUUCGAUAAUUUCUUAUAAACAUAGAUUUUCAUUGGAAUUCACUCAAUCAGUUAUGGAACAAGAGAGCUGUUUCAUCUUUGUUUUAAAGAAAUAUAAAAAUGAAUAGAAAGUAAAAAGUAAAACGAUUCCUUUUUUUUUUUUGUAAAUAUCUUUAUUUAGAUAAUAACUAGGUAACGAAGUUAUUUGAUUAACUUUUUGAAUUUAACCAACUAAACCCAUUCUUCAUUUUUUAUUAUUUCAAUGAGAUAAAUUUUUAAAAAAUGAAGAAUUCCAGUAUUUUUUCUUAUUCUUUUUAUUUAUUCUUUCAGAAAGAGAUAAGAGUUGGUUUGGUGAAUCGGAAACAAUUUUAUAGAAAAAUUGAAGUAAAAAUCGCAAUUUCUUUUCUUAUGGAACAUACAUAUCAAUAUGCAUGGGUAAUCCCUCUUCUCCCACUUCCAGUUAUUAUGUCAAUGGGAUUUGGCCUUAUUCUUAUUCCGACAGCAACAAAAAAUCUUCGUCGCAUAUGGGCUUUUCCUAGUGUUUUACUCUUAAGUAUAGCUAUGGUAUUCUCAGUUCAACUGUCUAUUCAACAAAUAAAUGGAAGUUCUAUCUAUCAAUAUCUAUGGUCUUGGACCGUCAAUAAUGAUUUUUCUUUAGAAUUUGGAUACUUGAUUGACCCACUUACUUCUAUUAUGUUAAUACUAAUUACUACUGUAGGAAUCCUGGUUCUUAUUUAUAGUGAUGGUUAUAUGUCUCACGAUGAAGGAUAUUUGAGAUUUUUUGUUUAUAUAAGUUUUUUCAAUACUUCUAUGUUGGGAUUGGUUACUAGCUCCAAUUUGAUACAAAUUUAUUUUUUUUGGGAACUCGUGGGAAUGUGUUCUUAUUUAUUGAUAGGCUUUUGGUUUACACGACCAAUCGCAGCGAGUGCUUGUCAAAAAGCUUUUGUAACUAAUCGUGUAGGGGAUUUUGGUCUAUUAUUAGGAAUUUUAGGUUUUUUUUGGAUAACAGGUAGUUUAGAGUUUAGGGAUUUGUUCCAAAUCGCUAAUAACUGGAUUCCUAAUAAUGGAAUUAACUCUUUACUUACUACUUUGUGUGCUUUUUUAUUAUUCCUUGGUGCAGUUGCGAAAUCCGCACAAUUCCCUCUUCACGUAUGGUUACCCGAUGCUAUGGAAGGACCCACUCCUAUUUCGGCUCUUAUACACGCAGCAACUAUGGUUGCUGCGGGAAUUUUUCUUCUAGCUCGACUUCUUCCUCUUUUCAUAUCUUUACCUUUGAUAAUGAGUUUUAUUUCUUUAGUAGGUACAAUAACACUAUUCUUAGGAGCUACUUUAGCUCUUGCUCAGAGAGAUAUUAAAAGAAGCUUAGCCUAUUCUACAAUGUCUCAAUUGGGUUAUAUGAUGUUAGCUCUAGGUAUAGGUUCUUAUCAAGCUGCUUUAUUCCAUUUGAUCACUCAUGCUUAUUCAAAAGCUUUAUUGUUCUUGGGAUCUGGAUCCGUUAUUCAUUCAAUGGAACCUCUUGUUGGGUAUUCACCAGAUAAAAGUCAAAAUAUGGUUCUUAUGGGCGGUUUAAGAAAAUACAUUCCAAUCACAAGAACUACUUUUUUAUGGGGUACACUUUCUCUUUGUGGUAUUCCACCUCUUGCUUGCUUCUGGUCCAAAGAUGAAAUCCUUAGUAAUAGUUGGUUGUAUUCGCCCUUUUUUGGAAUAAUAGCUUCCUUUACUGCAGGAUUAACUGCCUUUUAUAUGUUUCGGAUAUAUUUACUUACAUUUGGUGGGUAUUUGCGUGUUCAUUUUCAAAAUUACAGUAGCACUAAAGAGAGUUCCUUGUAUUCAAUAUCCUUAUGGGGAAAAAGGAUACCCAAAGGAGUGAAUAGGGAUUUCGUUUUAUCAACAACGAAGAGUGGAGUUUCUUUUUUUUCACAAAAUAUACCCAAAAUUCAAGGUAAUACAAGAAAUAGGAUAGGAUCCUUUACUACGUCUUUUGGGGCUAAAAACACUUUUGCCUAUCCGCAUGAAACGGGAAAUACUAUGUUAUUUCCUCUUCUUAUAUUACUACUUUUCACUUUGUUCAUUGGAUUCAUAGGAAUCUCUUUUGAUAAUGGAGGAAUGGAUAAUGGAAUAGCAGAGUUAACCAUAUUAUCAAAGUGGUUAACUCCCUCAAAAAACUUUACCCAGGAAAGUUCUAAUUCUUUUGUAAAUUCAUAUGAAUUUAUUACUAAUGCAAUUUCUUCUGUAACUCUAGCUAUCUUUGGUUUAUUCAUAGCAUAUAUCUUCUAUGGAUCUGCUUAUUCUUUUUUUCAGAAUUUGGAUUUAAUAAACUCUUUUGUAAAAAGAAAUCCUAAAAAAGAAUUUUUGGAUCAAGUAAAAAAAAUAUAUACAGUUGGUCAUAUAAUCGUGGUUAUAUAGAUAUUUUCUAUACUAGGGUCUUUACCCUCGGUAUAAGAGGGUUAACCGAACUAACGGAGUUUUUUGAUAAGGGUGUUAUUGAUGGAAUUACCAAUGGAGUGGGUCUUGCUAGUUUUUGUAUAGGAGAAGAAAUUAAAUAUGUAGGGGGAGGUCGAAUCUCGUCUUAUUUAUUCUUUUUUUUAUGUUAUGUAUCUGUGUUUUUAUUCUUUUUUCUUUCUUAAGUUAAGGAAUUCAAGUCUCUUGCAAAAAUAACUAUCCUACCCCUUUCUACAAUCUCUCUAUAAUCCCACCUUGUUACAUAAGGUAAGUAUUGUAUAAUCGUUCGGUUUUCCGCGAUUUUUUCCAUUCCUCUGUGUAAAUACCCUAAUAUGGGUUCACAAUCAAUAACAUCCUCACCAUCAAGAGUAACGAUCAGUCGAAGAACACCAUGCAUUGAUGGGUGUUGAGGGCCCAUAUUGACUAUCAUGAGAUCUUUUUUUGUAAGCGGUAGACUCAUAUCCUUUCUUCCUUAAUUCAUUAUUCCAUGAAAAUGGAUUAUUCCAUGAAUUCCUCAAAGUGAGGCUCAUCAAAAUGAAAAAUCUAAGACUACUAUAAAGACUACUAAAAAAAUAAUAAAACAAGAAAAAAAUUUGAAGGAUUAAAUUACUGCUCCCGAAUAUUCAACUGACCGAUUAAUUUCUUAUAACGUACUCUAUUUUUCUUUGCCAAAUAAGCCAGCAAACGUCGACGUUUUCCCAAAAGUCUUCGUAGACCUCUUUCCGAUGAAAAAUCUUUUUUGUGUAAUUCCAAAUGUGAAGCAAGUCUCCGUAUCUUAUUGGUGAAACUGAAUACUUGAAAUUCAACAGAACCCCUGUUUUCUUCUUUUUCUUCUUUAACCAUAAAUCCUAAAAUUUUUCUACCUCCUUUCUUUUUCAUGUAUUUUUCUGAUCAGGAAAAAUAAAAAAUUAUGUCAGUUAUUUUGAAGUUAUUCUAAUCUCGUACACACACAAAUUUGCAAUUAUUCAUCUACUACUGGAAUUUGGAUUUUUUUUAUCGAUGCAAAUUGGAUUUGGAUAGAAGGGUACAUUCUUUCUACUAUUUUAGAUAGAAGAAAUGUUUCUUCUAUCUAAAUAUAGUAGAAAGAAUUUUGCUGAUUUAUUUAUUGCUAUAUGCAAUUUAUGGAAUUGAUACACCAUUUAAUUGAUAUCAUUUAGCAAAAUGAAACACAGCAUAGGCAUCCAUCUUUUGGCUCGAGAAUUUCACGGGAUAG
rnacentral:lncRNA from 1 species